rnacentral:rRNA from 1 species
GACGAACGCUGGCGGUGUGCUUAACACAUGCAAGUCGAACGGUAAGGCCCUUUCGGGGGUACACGAGUGGCGAACGGGUGAGUAACACGUGAGUAACCUGCCCUCAUCUCUGGGAUAACAGUCGGAAACGGUUGCUAAUACUGGAUAUGAGCUUGCAAGGCAUCUUGUGGGUUGGAAAGAUUUUUUUUGGUUGGGGAUGGACUCGCGGCCUAUCAGCUUGUUGGUGAGGUAGUGGCUCACCAAGGCUUCGACGGGUAGCCGGCCUGAGAGGGCGACCGGCCACAUUGGGACAGAGAUACGGCCCAAACUCCUACGGGAGGCAGCAGUGGGGAAUAUUGCACAAUGGACGGAAGUCUGAUGCAGCAACGCCGCGUGCGGGAUGACGGCCUUCGGGUUGUAAACCGCUUUCAAUUGUGACGAAGCUUUUUUGUGACGGUAGCAGUAGAAGAAGCACCGGCUAACUACGUG